AAGCUUUUUUUGUUUUAAUAGGUCUGUGUAAAAACAAGUAUACACAACUAGGAAGCUGUGCUUUGCCUGCUAAGAGUCCGAUUU